rnacentral:rRNA from 1 species
UACGGAGGGUGCAAGCGUUGUCCGGAUUUAUUGGGUUUAAAGGGUGCGUAGGCGGCUUUUUAAGUCAGUGGUGAAAGACAACAGCUCAACUGUUGCAGUGCCAUUGAUACUGAAGAGCUUGAGUACAGAUUAGGUAGGCGGAAUUUAUGGUGUAGCGGUGAAAUGCAUAGAUACCAUAAAGAACACCUAUUGCGAAGGCAGCUUACUAAGCUGUAACUGACGCUGAGGCACGAAAGUGUGGGGAUCAAACAGG